CUGAGAGGCUAAUAAGAUUAAAAUGGUUGAUUUUGCUCAGCAAAUUAAUUUCCUUGGAUACAUCACCACUCAUUUUCUUUAUAGCAGCAAAAUCACCAUUGAUCGUGCCCCGAUAAACAGAUCCUUUAAUCAAACAUGCAGGACUGAAGUUUACUGUAGCAGUUUUGAAAUAAACAGAUCCUUUAAUCAAACAUGUAGGACUGAAGUUUUCUGUGGCUGUUUUGAUCUCUUCAAAUUUGUAAAUCUUAACAGAUUGAGCUAUACUGGAUAAACUUUCCAAGAACUCCUCAGACUCAUCUUCAGCUUUCUUAUUCAAUGGUUUCUCAACUGCUUCAAAACUUUCAGAAACAAAAUGUGGAUCAGCUUUCUUUUGCCUUUUCCUACAAAACAAGAAGAAAAUAACCACCCCCAAAAGAGACAAAGCGACUAUUCCUCCAACAACACCAACCACAACAUAUAUCCAAGUCUUCUUUGAGCCAUUAUUUGAUACAGGAACAGCAGGUGGUGUUGGUGCUGAUGGCGGAGGCGGCGGUGGAGAAUUUCCUGCAACUUGGGAACUCACAGGUGGGUUCAAAAGAGGAACUAAUAGAGUAGUGAAUGGAAAAAUAGUAGCAUCAUUUUCUGAUAGUCCAUUAGCAGCAAGUGUUGCUCUAGUGUCCACCCGAAAUUUAUCACUAAUGAGGGAAACAAAUUCUCCAAAAGUAACCAAAUAACUAAGCAGAUAUUUUGUACCAUCAUCAGUUUGAUUCUUUGUUGGACAAGCACAUCGAAGAGGAACAUUAAUUCUUGAACCAAGAAUCAGAUUAUUAGCUUGUUCUUUGUUCUCAGCGUUAAUAGCAUGGCAAGUAGACAGGCCUUGUAGGGUAUUAUUUGCAAUUGUUAAGAAAUUAUCAUCCUUUUUUAUGACAUAAGAUGUAUUUGUCUGAUAAUACGGACCUGCACAAGAACACGUGACAGGAACAAGAACCAUUUGGUUCGUGUCAAAGGUAGCAUUUUGAGCAACUGAAUUGAGCUGAGAAAGCUCCAAAGGAUCAGCACCCAGUAGAGAAGAGAUUGAAGCCACUGAAGUGAAAGGGGGUUGAGAUCUAAAUGUCAAAUAAGAUUGACAGCUGCGGUUAACGCCAUUGCAGAAAUACCCAAAAGCAGAAUUGGAGUUAUCUUGGCUGCUGCAGGCGUUUGUUCCCUUUCCAAUGUAAGGCUGUUGUGCAAGAAUUGAAACAGAGGAAGAAGCAAGAAUAAAGGUAAAUACACAGAUGAGAUUAGAAUAAUAAUUCAUUUUCAGCUCGGAAGAAACAAAGAGGAAAAAAAGGAGUUCAAGAGAUUGUUGUUUGUAUAAGCAUAGCAGAAAUUAUCAUCAACGCGGCAUAAUAAUGUUUCAAAAGAUUGGAGGUUGGAGUUUUAAUUGGAAGAAGAAAGUUUCAACGUGAAUGCGUGUAGGAAUAAGUGAAAGAAGAGAAGGUUUGUUGUAAUAAAAGUCAACAGGAAUAAUUGAUCAAUCACGAUAUAAUAUUAUUUAAUCACUAAAUAAUUUGGUAGGUUGACAUUAAAUAUUGUGUCUACUGCCAGACCCAUCGUUAUUGGAGUUGUUCAGUUUUAUUCUGUAGAAUUUAACUAAAAGCAACUGGACAUCGUAUUUGGACAUUCCCAUAGAAUGAUUACACACCCUCUGUACUUCAUUGCAAUAAAUUUAAAAAAAGGACUAAAAUUUCAUUCGUGAUCUCAGUUGGUUAUCCAAAAAGAUGGAUAUUGAAAAACAAAAUGAAAAUUUACUUAGUGGAUGUACAAAGAAUUAGUACAAAAUAAUAAAAAGGAUGAAAAAUCGAAGAGUUAGGCAACAAUUGAAAGAAAUACUCCCUUCGGUCCAAAA
rnacentral:lncRNA from 1 species